UGCACUUGAUGUUGGGCUUGCUUAGCUCAUAGACAAAGACUUAGACAAGUGGGAAAAACAAAUCCUCUUUUGCAACCCAGAACUCAUCGUUGAAUGUGAGUUUUGAUACAGAUAAGAAGGAACAUG
ensembl:snoRNA